GAUGAAGAACGCAGCGAAAUGCGAUAAGUAAUGGGAAUUGCAGAAUUCAGUGAAUCAUCGAAUCUUUGAACGCACCUUGCGCCCUUUGGCUAUUCCAAAGGGCAUGCCUGUUUGAGUAUCAUGAACACCUCAACUCUCAUGGUCUGCCAUGAUGAGCUUGGACUUUGGAGGUCUGCUGGCCUGUGGUCAGCUCCUCUCAAAUGAAUCAGCUUUCCGGUGUUUGGUGGCAUCAUGGGUGUGAUAAAUAUCUACGCUUGUGGUUUUCCACCAGGUAACCUUCAGUGAUGGGGGUUCGCUGGGGCUCAUAAAUGUCUCUCCUCAGCGAAGACAGCUUUGUGAAUGUUUGAUCUCCAAUCAGGUAGGACUACCCGCUGAACUUAAGCAUAUCAAUAAGCGGAGGA
rnacentral:misc_RNA from 1 species